GAGGGCAGGGAAGCUCGGCGAGCCCCGGGGGCCGGGCGGCCGGCCGGUGGCCACUGAGACGGCGCCAUCUGCUGGACGCCCCGGUUACGAUGACCCGGGCCUCGGCCCCGGCUCUCCGCCGGCUGGAGGUGCAGGACGGAAGGGCUCGCUUCAAGACCUCGGCGGCAAUUCCUUGGAAGUCGGUUCGAAUUCUUGGGAAGAGAAAGUUGGCGCAAAAAAAAAAAAGAAAAAAAGAAAAGAAAGAAAAAUUCCAGCGCAUCCUCAUUUCUUCCAUAAGGGCCUCCGGGCUACAGCGCCAAACUCUGAGGACUUGAGCUGGAUGGAGAGCAGAGCCAGCCGCCUCCUUUUGAAGACUUUAUCCUAAAAGAGGCUGCAUCUAACAGCAGGUGAAAAGUCCCCUUGUGUGAUGCUGCAUCCCUGUAAUCAAGGCACUUGGAAUGUAGAGGCAGGAGGAUCAGGAAUUUAAAGUCAUCUUUACCUCACAGUUGGUUUAAGGCCAGCCUGAUCUGCAUGAGACUGUCCCAAAGAAGAAAAGAGAAGCCCCAUCUCUGGUGCUUGCUUGGCUGUCUGGGCUCCUGAACUUCUGUCUGUUGGUUAUUUGUUGCUGUAUAGAAAUGCCAUGGAAACAUCCAGGUAUAGAACAGGCAUGCUAUUAUCUCACAGAGUUCCUGAGAGUUAGUAACAGAGGGUGACUGAGCCUGGUGCUUCUCUCAAGAAGUCGAGAUGUUAGUUAGAGCCAGAGCAGGGCGAAAGAAUUCACUUCCAAGCUGGGCACGGUGGCGCACGCCUUUGAUCCCAGCGCUCAGGGAGGCAGAGGCAGGCAGAUCUUACUGAGUUCCAGGCCAGCCUGGUCUACCAAGAAAGUCCAGGACAGCCAAGGCUACACAGAGAAACCCUGUCUCAGAAAAGAAAAGAAAAGAAAAGAAAAGAAAAGAAAAGAAAAGAAAAGAAAAGAAAGAGAAGAGAAGAGAAGAGGAAAAGAAAAGGAAAAGAAAAGAAAAGAAAAAAGAAAAGAAAAGAAAAGAAAAGAAAAGAAAAGAAAAGAAAAGAAAAGAAAAGAAAAGAAAAGAAUUCACUUCCGAGCUCGCCAGCAACAGUUCCCGCCAGGCUGGUCCCUGCCAGGUGGACUUCUCCUGGGACCACGCACAGCAAGCAGUUUACUUCUCCAACAGGGAGUAAUCCAAGACUGGGAGUGGGGUGGGGGAUGGGACAGAUCCAAAUGGAAGCCACAGUCUUUUCACAGCCUAAUCGCAGAAGGAACACCCACUUCUGCUACGAGCUGUUGGCCACGGGGUAUGAAUAUAAGGCAGAGACAGCUAGAAUCAAGCUGUCUUAGAAAGCAGCUGCUAUCCUGGAGACUAGUACCCGGCCCAUCUUCCGGUAUCAAGUGAUUCAUGUCUUUUUCACAUGUAAAAUGCACCCGUGGACACACCUCCACCAAGUCGACAGAAACAUCGUCUCAUUACAGCAUUCGCUCGAAGACCAGCAUCCCAACAUCUAAGUUAAGUUCAAGCACAUCUGAUGGCCGGUCACGGAGGUGUACCUCUGUAAAGCCAGCACUCAGGCGGAGACAGAGCUCAGCCCCAGCCACAUAGAGAGUCAGAGGCUAGCCUAGGCUGGAUGAGACCUUGUCUCAAACAAAAGAAAAAGAAAAAGAUUUUUACUAUCUAACAUUGUCCUCAGAACUGUUGCCCAAAUUCCAAAUUCACAUCUGAGUGUAAGGAUUUUGCCACAACAGAACACCACUAACGGAAAAAUCAGUGUGCUAUGUAUUUCUGUCUAAAAGGAUACGUUGAAACAUGGUAAAGUUCCAAACAACAAUUACUAGCUAUCCGCAUCAUUUCUAAGGACUGGGAAUCUGAAACUUGGAUUGGCCAGGUGCUUCUGGAACAGCGUUUCUCACAAGAUUGCAUCAGACACAGCCCGAUUACACAAUAUACUCAUAUGCCCAAAUGUCACACGGUACCCCCAAUAUUAAUACACUUAUUAAUCAUGUACUAAUAACUUUGUUCCUGUGUCAGUUAGGGCUACAGUUACCUCAAUUAGGGCUGAGACUUCCUACGGAAAACAAAACCAAACAAAAACAUGUCCAUAUCUGGUAUAUUCUUGUUGUAGGCUUUCCUUUUAGCAUUCUGAAUCAUCCUCCUUUUCCACCUCCUUUACUCCUUUCCAGUCCUGGGAGUGGCAUUUCCCCUAAGCUAUCUCCGGAUGUCCCUUCCUUCAUUCGACUAUUUACCAUUCAAAUGCCUCCAGGUUUUUUUUUUAAUGCAUUUAUAAUCAUGAGCGUGUGAGUGAGUGAGUGUGUGUAUGUGUGUGUGUGUGUGUGUGUGUGUGUGUGUGUGUGUGUGUGUUAAUGAAGUCCCUAACAUAGAUGCUACUCUCUCUCUCUCUCUCUUCUGGAUCCUGACUAAUCCAAAUAAAUCUUAUUUGGAGCUGAACAGAUUUCUUUACUGAAGAAGUCCUCAGGACAUUUUAAUAUGCUAACGGGCUUUGUGUGUCUCCCAGAGGAUUCUAGAGCAUGCAGCAUUUUCCAACUCUUUUGAUCACAAGCCCCGUUUUUUGUGUUUUGCUUUUACACACAUCAUAGCUGGCAUGAAAAAGGAUGGAGAAGAAACAUCAUAGUAUAGUUUGACUGAAACAAUGAACAUGUGAAGGAAAAUAGUAAUAUUUAUCUAUUUACACAUAUAUACACAUACAUAUGUUCACUUGUGUAAAACAACAACAGUGGUUAGAGGCUGAGUCACGCAGGGCAAUGUAUUUGACAACCCUGGUCCUAAGGUCUCGGGAGUCACUGAACAUUGCCCACUGCUAGGUGAAAAGUCAGAAUUACUUACCUAAAUUACUUAAUUAUAGCAAUACACUUUCUUUUUUAACUGUAACCAGGAUUACUUUGCACAACUAGCAAAACAGAAAAAUUAUGCUCUAAACAUUUUGCUUUUUAUUACCUUUCCAUUUGUCUCAGCAGGUUUGAAGAAAUGAGGCCCAAACUUCAGGAGCCUAUAGCAUUUGGCUUAUGUUUUCAGCAUGGUAGAAGAAAUUUCUUAAAAUGGGAAGACCCUCAGGGGAAGAAAUAAAAUGUUUUAACAUGACCCUCCAAAGCAGCAUCCUUAAAUGGGUUAAAAGAUGGAAAAGAAGGGCUGGGGAGACGGCUCAGAGGUUAAGAGUACUGGCUGUUCUUCCAGAGGUCCUGGUUCAAUUCCCAGCAACCACAUGGUGGCUCAUGACCAUCUAUAAUGAGAUCUGAUGCCCUCUUCUGCCAUGCAUGUGUACAUGCUGACAGAACACUGUAUACAUAAUAAAAUAAAUCUUUUAAAAAAAAAA